rnacentral:rRNA from 1 species
UACAGAGGGUGCAAGCGUUGUUCGGAAUUAUUGGGCGUAAAGCGCGUGUAGGCGGCCUUGCAAGUCGGGUGUGAAAGCCCUCAGCUUAACUGAGGAAGUGCGCCCGAAACUGCUAGGCUUGAGUACCGGAGAGGAUGGCGGAAUUCCCCAAGUAGAGGUGAAAUUCGUAGAUAUGGGGAGGAACACCGGUGGCGGAGGCGGCCAUCUGGACGGAUACUGACGCUGAGACGCGAAAGCGUGGGUAGCAAACAGG